rnacentral:lncRNA from 1 species
AGGCUGAACACAAUGUGAUUGGCUCCGAGACCUGGGGAGGCUCCAGCUCUCCUCAAAUAUCCCCCCUGCUAUUAGAAAUGAUCCAGUUAAACCUCUGAUGUUAUAGAAUUAAGAAAAUAAAUCAAGGCUAAGAAGUGAAGUGCCUGGCCCAAGAAACUCAACUGAAGGGGAUUUUGGAGUCUUUGAACAACCAUCGCCCUGUUUUUUUUCCCUUAAACCUCCCUGCCCUUCAAAUGCAAGGGUUUAUAGGUUGUAAUAACUGAGUGACUACAUCAAAAUGAGGAACCUGAACAUGGAGAGAGAGGCAUACCAGGCUCAAGACAAUUGUCCAGCCCAGUCCUAGCUACUGUC